rnacentral:rRNA from 1 species
GAGAACGUCGACUUCGGUCGACUAGUAGAGCGGCGAACGGGUGAGUAACACGUGGAUAACCUGCCCUGGAGUGGGGGAUAACCUGGGGAAACUCGGGCUAAUACCGCAUACGUUCUCGGCACUCUGGUGCCGAGAGGAAAGCUGGCCAAUUCUUGAAAGCUAGCGCUCUUGGAGGGGUCCGCGUCCGAUUAGCUUGUUGGUGGGGUAACGGCCCACCAAGGCUGCGAUCGGUAGCCGGCCUGAGAGGGUGAUCGGCCACACUGGGACUGAGACACGGCCCAGACUCCUACGGGAGGCAGCAGUGGGGAAUAUUGGACAAUGGGCGCAAGCCUGAUCCAGCAACGCCGCGUGGAGGACGAAGGCCUUCGGGUCGUAAACUCCUGUCAGUUGGGACGAAAAGUCGUCGGUUAACACCCGGCGAUCAUGACGGUACCAGCAGAGGAAGCCCCGGCUAACUCCGUGCCAGCAGCCGCGGUAAUACGGAGGGGGCAAGCGUUAUUCGGAAUUAUUGGGCGUAAAGGGCGCGUAGGCGGCUUGGUAGGUCAAAGGUGAAAUCCCUCAGCUCAACUGAGGAACUGCCUUUGAAACCACCUGGCUUGAGGCUGGGAGGGGGUAGCGGA